rnacentral:rRNA from 1 species
UUUGGGGUAAAUAAAAAUGAAAGUAUUNUUGAACUAAACUGAUCUUGAUAAAACUAGGUGAAAAAGGUACUCUAGGGAUAACAGCGUUAUAAUUAUUAAAGCCCAUAUUAAAAUAAUUGUUUGCGACCUCGAUGUUGAAUUGCGAAUUNCUUCCUAAAGCAGAAAUUAGGAAUAAANAGGUCU